GUGGUUAUUAUGUAUUGUUUAUGUGGUUGAUUAUAUAUUGAUUAUGUGAUUGAUUAUGUGUUGAUUAUGUUUGUUAUUAUAUAUUGAUUAUGUGUUUUUGGAGGUAAUAAAUAAAGAGUUGAGUAGGUAUGAAUUAAAUAGUUAGUAGGUAAUAAUUAUGGAAUUUAGUUGUGAGGAAUUAUGUUGUUUAGUUGGUAAUAAUUAAGUAGUUGAGUAGGUAGGAAUUAUAUAGUAUAGUUGGUAAUUGUUAAGUAGAUGAUAGGUAGGAAUUGUGUAGUUUAGUUGGUAAUUGUUAAGUAGAUGAUAG
rnacentral:misc_RNA from 1 species